GGUCAACGUNAUAUGNNUACUAGCUGNNNCUAGCUGGUUAAAUACGAUCGAUCCCUAGCAUAAAUGGGGGAGCUACUGACUAAUCGAAGGCGAGCGGUUAUAUAGCUACGAUCGAUCAAGCGCUAGCCUAGCUAGCUACGAUCGGGAUCCACUAGCCUAAAGAGAUGUGGUCAGCUAGCUAAUAUCGACUGCUGUGCUCGAUCGACUAGCUAUAUAGAUCGGGCUAGCUAGAGCUGUUCUAGCUAGCUAAUAGCUGCAGGGAGAUCACGACUAGCUGAGCUAUAGAUCUAAAUGACUAGCGUUCGCGACUAGCUAGCAUCAGCUAAUAUCGCUAGGAGGUUGUUAAAUACGAGGUGAUUAUCCGGGGGCUCAACUUCGAAUUGCCUUGUAGACUGAUGAACUAGAGUACUGGAGAGGUAAGCGGAAUACCAGGUGUAGCGGUGGAAUGCGUAGAUAUCUGGUAGAACACCAAUAGCGAAGGCAGGUUGCUGGACAGAAACUGCCUCUGAAAGACGAAAGCAUGGAAAGCAAACAGGAUUAGAUACCCUGGUAGUCCAUGCCGUAAACGUUGUCAACUUGAUGUGGGCGGUUUAGUCCUGUCCGUAUCGAAGAACGCGAUAAGUUGCCGCCUGGGAACUACGGCCGCAAGGCUAAAACCAAAAGGAAUUGUCGGGGGCCCGCACAAGCGGUGGGGCAUGUGGCUUAAUUCAGGCAACGCGAAGGAACCUUACCUGGGCUUGAAAUUACCGGACCGGCUGUGAAAGCAGUCUUCCCUUCGGAGAAUGGUAUACAGGUGCGCAUGGCUUUCGUCAGCUCGUNCCGUGAGUGUUCGGUUAAAUCCGGCAACGAGCGCAACCCGUGUCAU
rnacentral:rRNA from 1 species